rnacentral:hammerhead_ribozyme from 1 species
AUCCAACUGAUGAGUUCCAAAUAGAACGAAACGAGCAUUCUAGAU